AAUAUUGGACAAUGGAGGCAACUCUGAUCCAGCCAUGCCGCGUGCAGGAAGACUGCCCUAUGGGUUGUAAACUGCUUUUAUACAGGAAGAAACAGUUCUACGUGUAGAGCUCUGACGGUACUGUAAGAAUAAGGAUCGGCUAACUCCGUGCCAGCAGCCGCGGUAAUACGGAGGAUCCAAGCGUUAUCCGGAAUUAUUGGGUUUAAAGGGUCCGUAGGCGGGCAGUUAAGUCAGGGGUGGAAGUUUGCGGCUCAACCGUAAAAUUGCCUCUGAUACUGAUUGUCUUGAAUUAUUAUGAAGUAGUUAGAAUGAGUAGUGUAGCGGUGAAAUGCAUAGAUAUUACUCAGAAUACCGAUUGCGAAAGCGGAUCACUGGAUCUUUUCUGACGCUGAGGCACGAAAGCCAGGGUAGCGAACGGGAUUAGAUACCCCGGUAGUCCUGGCCGUA
rnacentral:rRNA from 1 species